rnacentral:rRNA from 1 species
UACGUAGGGUGCAAGCGUUGUCCGGAAUUAUUGGGCGUAAAGAGCUCGUAGGCGGUGUGUCACGUCGGCCGUGAAAACCUGCAGCUUAACUGUGGGCGUGCGGUCGAUACGGGCAUCACUGGAGUUCGGCAGGGGAGACUGGAAUUCCUGGUGUAGCGGUGAAAUGCGCAGAUAUCAGGAGGAACACCGGUGGCGAAGGCGGGGUCUCUGGGCCGAUACUGACGCUGAGGAGCGAAAGCGUGGGGAGCAAACAGG